rnacentral:rRNA from 1 species
CAGCCGCCGCGGGAAUACGGAGGGGGCUAGCGUCGUUCGGAAUUACUGGGCGUAAAGCGCACGUAGGCGGAUAUUUAAGUCAGGGGUGAAAUCCCGCAGCUCAACUGCGGAACUGCCUUUGAUACUGGGUAUCUUGAGUAUGGAAGAGGUUAGUGGAAUUGCGAGUGUAGAGGUGAAAUUCGUAGAUAUUCGCAGGAACACCAGUGGCGAAGGCGGCUAACUGGUCCAUAACUGACGCUGAGGUGCGAAAGCGUGGGGAGCAAACAGGAUUAGAUACCCGUGUAGUCCCUGUCUCUUAUAC